rnacentral:lncRNA from 1 species
UACACUAAUUCUGAGCCUAAUAAUUGGUCAUUUCCUUAAUUGUGGCUAUUUCUGUAAUCUCUUUAUUCUUCUGUAUUCUUUUGUAAAAUAGGCUAUAUGUACAAAUAGGUUGUAUUUGUAAAUAGGCCAGUUUUGUAAUAAGUAUAUCUGAUAUAUACUCUCACUUGAUACUUGACCCUUCACAGGGGUCAUUUGGCUUAUGACAGAGUCUUCUUCGAGACUCUUCUAUUCUCUCUUCCUUCUCUC